AAAUCAACCUAGAUCUAAUGACGGUGGCGCUAUGACGGAAGUAUUAACGGAAAAAGUAGAAAAUGCAAGAAAUCAAGAUCAGAGAGAAGAGAACGAACCUUGAAAAUUUUCCUUUGCAAUUGCGAAAUGAAAAAAUGAAUCGAAGGCUUAGCAUUUAUAGAGAUUUGGGGCGCGUCGGGUACGAACGAGCCAAAUAAAACACAUCGAAUCCGCGUCUGAGGCGCGUCGGGC
rnacentral:lncRNA from 1 species